CCCAAUCGGAGAAGAAGAAGGUGAGGAGCACCAGGAAGAAGGGAGAAGAAGCUGACCAAUCAGGGGACGGAAAGGAGGAAAAGGAGAGAGUGGUGCGGGGGGAACAGGAGGGAACACCCAGCUUCCAGGCGGGUUUUCCCAAGAAAAUCGCCUUAAUCAUCAUUAGACGUCAAGACAUUGAUUUCGUUGUAUUUCGCGACACCCCUAGGGUUUUUGUUUAAAGAUUUGAGCAUUCGUUGAAACAACACCCUACAAAUUCUAGGGUUCUUCACCUAGGUUUUGGUGAAAUUGAAGCACUUCCAGGCCAAAUUGGCCUUGGUCUCAGGUAUGAAAGUUGUUCUACUCAUUGAGAUCUUCAAAUCUGGCAAAUUUUGGUAAUUUUUGGAAAUAGUUGAAUUUUCCGGCGAGCCGGGGGCGGCCAACCGCCACCCGCGGCGGCCCGCGCGGCGGCGCGUGGCCAAUGGCCCGCCAAUGUGUCAUUAUUAGCUUGUGAUUAAGGUUCUAGGUUCUGUUUUGAUAAUUGAUGGACGUAAAUUGAAUAAUUGAACCUAAGUUGGUUACGAUUCGGGGUUAGGUGAAAAUGUGAAUUGACGAUCCGACCGUUGGAUCGUCAUCAAACUUUGAUACGUUGUAAUACGUAAUAUUUGAGGAUUAUAGGAACUUACGGAUUGGGAAUCCGAUUUACGGAUAUUCCGGAAUUGGAAUUGUAAGUUCAUAAAAUAGAAUGUUAACCGUCACUUAGUUUUGGAAAUUGACGGAGAUCCGACCGUUGGAUGGUAACGAAAUUUUAGGAUGUUGUCCUAGAGGUAUAUUGUGGACCUCUGGAAGUUUCGGAUUUGAAAUCUGAAUUGCAGAUCAUCCGGAUCGAACUACGUAGUGACGUGUCUUCUAUAAGUUAUGUAUUCUAUCGGCAGGAUUUCUGAGGUUGGGUUUGAUUAUUGUUCUAGGUGCUAAUCUUCAUGACGCCUUGAUGUGUGGUGCGAGGGAGUUGUUGAGCGAACUCCAGGUGAGUGGGCAGUUUUGUUUUCGUAUUACCUUUAUACUAUAAAUUUUUCCCAGAAGACGAAUUUAUACGAAAUUAUGUUUUGAAAAUGCCAUGCAUAGAAUUAUUUGGAAAAUGUGAAUUUCAUAUGAGUUAUAUGAUUGAUAUAUGAUGCAUACAUGUUGCAUGGUGCUGUGGAGGCACAGGUAAGUCAGGUGAGUUCAUUAUUCAUUUAAUUGAUUGUUGAUAAGAUGUUUUCAAGCUCAUAACCUGCACCCUAGGUGUUAGUGCCUUAUUUUAUUCACCACACCGCACGCUCGCCUUGGAUCCAAGUAGGUGGAUGUCGUACAGACCAUGUGAGGGUUCCGACAUGCUAGUCGUAUAGAUCACUAGGCGUGAUGAUUCCGACUAGUGGGUGAUCUUAGUUAUGCGCGCUGAUGAUGAUAUGAUGAAGAAGCCACUAGAGCGUAUUUUUACACCUUUCAUCGUACAGACUACCUUACGUGUAGUUCCGAGUGAUGUGCAGAGUAGGGCCGUAUAGGUCACUGUGGUGACUCCGGCUUAGUGAGAUAUUGAGCUAUUGAAUUUAAUCGUAUAGGACCAACUGCAGGGUCUCCGAUUGAUUCCUUAUUUCACCUGAUUUAUAUUUUUUGAUUUAUGGCAUGGCAUGUUUUUCUUGAAAAAUGUUAAAGAUUUGGGAUUCAAGUUUUGAGAUUUCAUAUGGUUAUAUAUAUAUAUUUUUCUGAAAAGUGUUAAAGGUUUGAGAUUUGAGAUUUUUGCUUAUAUAUAUGUUUAUACAUAUGCUAUUUUCUGGGAAAGUAUACAGGUUUUUACGGUGAGGGGUUAGAAUUAUAAAUUUUUUAAAUGAAAAGUUUUCGAAAAACUUUGUUUUUACUGACCCACUCAAUUUUGUUUUGCGCCCCUCCAGGUUCAAGUUAGCAGAGCUUUGGUGGCCACGAGGAAUCCAACGGUGUUAUGACAGAAUUCACAAAAGUAGGACUCACCCUCGGGUGUGUCAUCUUAGUAAUUGGAAAUUUUUUUUUAAAGCUUCUGAACUAUGUAAAUGGUUACGUCACUCUCACGUGACGGCCAGCACGCCCUCCUUCGGGACGGGGUGUGUCAGUUGGUAUCAGAGCCUAGGUUGCAAUUCUGGACAUCUUGAGAAUUUCCUAGUGUCUUCUGUCAGAACUAUACCGCCUCAUAGCGAGCCACGUAGUUCGGAUGAGCCUAAAUUCCUGAUGAUAUAGUAGUUUGGGGGGAAAAAUUAUUGUCACUAUGAUUCAGUCUAUUAUCUAAAGGAACCUUUUGAGACUGAUUAUAAGUUAAAUUUGAAUACAGACUUGCCUUGUUUCCAUUCGGAUGUUGUUACUAAUCCGGUCGAGGUGUUAUGUCGUUUUUGGCGGGAUAAUAAGAAGAAGUGACGUUCUUUGGCGACCACAAUCCAUUGUACUUUUUACCAGGAGUUUACGAGAUGUUGUUGGGCUUUUGAGGACUUUGAGAAUAUGAUCAGCGAGAGUAAAGAAGAAUAAGAAAAGAAUGGUAAUUAGAGGAAAGGUGAGAAAGUUAAAGAUCCGUCAUAUCAAGGACGUCGAAAGACUCAGAGCUUCAAAAGAAGUGAAGUUAGAACUAAUUCUUCCAACUGAGGUUUUAGUGCCACUGGUCCGAGGCGAAGUGAUAGAUUUAACGGGUGAUCCCAGAUCUUAAAGACAAGGUGACUCGAGUAAGGGAAAUGUACCUUUGUGCCAUAGGUAUAAUAUUAGACACUUUGGAGAGUGUGGGAAUCAGUGAAUGUGUUCAUGUGGACGGAUGGGACAUAAGAGGUAUGAAUUUUGUCCCUGGAAUCAGUUGUUACCCAAUAGUCUUCCUUAACAUAUCACUUGGAAAUAUUGACGAGUAAGUCGUACAGGUCACUAUAUGUGACUCCGACUUAUGUGCUAGCAUGGAUGGUCGAGUUGUAGACUCAGUCGUACAGGUCAUUCUAGCUGACUCCGGCUGAUAUAUUUCUUAUUAUGGUCGAUGUUGCCAAAGAAAGUAAUGUUGGAGCACGAUCGAGGCGUAUUUAUGUAUUUCUAAGGAAGAACAAGAUGAUAAUAUUACACCCCUCAGGAAUUGUUACUUAGUUAUCGAGACAACAAUGAGUUAUUUGUAUUGCGGGCUGCAGACCGUAAUAUUUAUAACUUAUUUGUUGGAUUCGUUAAGUAAGUAAACAAGUAAGGCACUUUAUGUUGAUUUGGUUUAUUAAGGGUGUCCAGUGAUGGUGAAAAAUGUCAUGUCAGUGAAUUUUAUUCCGUUGGAUAUUAUAGAUUUUGAGGUGAUUAUUUUUUGCACCAGUGGGUGCAGUAUAAUUGUGUCAAGCUAGAUUGCUAUGGGGAAUCAGUUAAUUUUUGUUGACCUGGAUGACCAGAGGUUACUUUUGGGGGUAAGUAAAGUGGAGUGAGUUAUGCCAUUAUUCAUGUUGAGAGAGCAAAGAAGAUUGUUAUCAAAAGGCUGCCAAGAUAUUGAGUUCAUAUGGUGCUAAAUGAUGUUGAUCCUAAUAGUAUGAAAGAUGUAAAGAUGGUUAGACAUUUUCUUGGUGUAUUCCCAGAUGACUUACCUAGAUUGCCGCCAGGCAGAGAUGUGGGUUCCAUUAUUGAAUUGUUUUUAGGUACAAAUCCUAUGUUAGAAAUUGGUUCAGGUUGAGUUAAAAGUUCCAUUCAACUUAUUAUAUCACAUUGGAAAAGCUCCGGUUUAUUUGUGAGGAAGAAAGUGGACAUUAAGGCUAGGCAUUGAUAUUAGGUAAUUGAAUCGGGUAACGAUUGAGAGCUGUUAUCCAUUGUUGUGUAUUGAUGAUUAUUUGAUCAGCUCUGAGGCGCCUGGGUACUUUCUGAGAUUGACUUGAGGUCUGAAUGAUAUUAGUUGAAGAUUAACAGUGGGGAUGUCCAUAAGACUGAAUCCAGGACUCGUUAUGGUCAUUUCAAGUUGGGAUGCCAUACAGAGUGACGAAUGCACCUGCUACUUUUAUGAGCUUACUGAAGGAAGUAUUCCAGUGAUAUCUAGAUCGAUUUGUUGUUGUUGCCAUUGACGAGAUUGAUAAGAUUAGAGCAGUGCAUGCUAGAUAUUUAAAGUUGGUGUUGCAAAGAUUGAAGGAACGUUGAUGUAUGCUAAGUUUAGCAAAUGCUAAUGUUGGAUAAAUUAAUUAUAUCUACUUAAGGUAUUCAAGUGGAUUCUUAAAAGAGUAGCAACGAUUGAGAAUUUGGAACAAUUGCGAACCGUGACUGAGGUUCAGAGUUUUCUCGGAUUAGCAGGAUAUUGUCGAUAGUUCGUCCAAGAUUUUAAUUAUUGCUUCGCCCUUGGCGAGAUUGAUGAGAAAAGAGGUUAGUUUGAGUGGGAUGAAAAAUUGUGAGUAGAGCUUCAGCAAGUAAAGUAUUCCCUCACUCAUGCAUCUGUUUUCGCACUCCCAAACGAUAGUGGUAAUUACGUGGUCUAUAGUAAUACUUCUUUGAAUGUUCUUGAAUGCGCGUUGAUGCAGCAUGGUAGGAUGAUUGCCUAUGCUUCAUGGCCAUUGGGAUCUCAUAAGAUGAAUUACCCUAAUUAUAAUUUGGAAUUAGCAGCUAUCAUCUUUGCUUUGAGAAUUUGGAGACAUUGUCUUUAUGGGAAGAAAAGUGCAUGAUUGUUACAAAUCAAAAGAGUACCCAAUAUCUGUUUAUUCAGAGGUAUCUUAAUCUUAGGCAACAAAGGUGGAAUGAGUUGCUUAGUGAUUAUGAUUGUGUGACGAGGGUGGUCAAGCUAAUGUUGUGGCUGAUGCAUUUAGUAGGAAGACCCCAGUGAGAAUUAAUGCUUGGUAUGCUUGCUAUGUUCAUCUUCUUGUGGAUUUGAAAUCUACUGGAGUAAAGUUGAGUAUCAAAAAUCGAGAAGAAGCCUUACUUGCUAAUUUCUAAGUUGGACCCAUUUGGUAGAUCGUACUCGAUACUCAAGCGUUUGACGAAGAAAUUCAAGAAUUUAUUUAAAGUAAGGAAUAACGGGAUAAAGAAGGACCUUAGAGUUAGAGAAUCAGAUGGCAAGCUUAUGCAAGGGAACAAAGUGUUUAUGCCUAAUGGUGUGGAAUUAAAUAAAGCAAUUUUGACGAUGUACAUUAUUCCACUUCUACAAUGCAUCCCAAAAGUACUAAGAUUUAUCAUACCAUUCGUUCAUGUACUAUUGACGGGUAUGAAAAGAGGAAUGGCGAAGUAUGUUAGUAGGCGUAUCAUCAGUCAUCAGGUUAAAGCAGAAAGAAAUAAGUCUUUUGGAAUAAUGUAGUCAUUUCUCAUUCCACGGCGGAAAUGGGAGAAUAUUACUAUGGAUUUCAUGGACAAGCUUCCUCGUAUACCAAAUAGUUAGGUUGGAGUUUGAAUAAUAAUUGAUUGACUUGUGACGUCAGCGCAUGUUACUUCAGUAUGAGAACAUCAACCUUUCCAGAUAAGCGCAACAGUUAUUUAUUUGUUUUAUGGAAAAAGGAGAUUGGGAUCUGUUAAACUUCUUGGGUAUGUUGGUUCCUUCAGUUUGUUCCCUAGAGUAACGCCAUAAGGCCGUGGAAAGCUAUGUCUUGUGUUUCGAAAUUGUUAGAAUUGGGGACGGAUGAUAUUCAAGACUCUGAGUUUGGUGAAAAUUUAUGGAGGAAUCUUUCAGUGGAAGAAACUACUUGAAAGUCAAAGAAUCGAAUGAGAGAGAUGUGUUUCGGGCUGUUUCAUGGAUAUUGAUGGAUUGUAAAGAUUGUGUAAAUUUCGAGGACGAAAUUUCUGUAAGGUGGGUAGAUUGUGACAGCCCGUCCCUAAUUUUAAGAAUUUUUAAAGUUUUAAUAAAGGAUUUUACAAAAAUGCCCUUCGAGGCACGCACAUCAUUCGAGGUUAAUCGUUGUGUCGUGCCAUCUAAGAUUUGUUUUCUUGACAUAUCCUCGUCGUUACGGACGUGUGGGCGCAGACGGUUCGUGAUUUGGAGUUAUAUCGAAGAAGUUAUUAACGUUUGAAAUUUGGAAUUUUAAGGAAUUAUAACUUUAGUAAAAUAUAGAAUUCUUUUAUGAAAUUGGACGGCCCAGAUUUAUUGAUGAAUGAAAUGGAUGGCUGGGAUGAGGGAAAGGUUUUUGGUGUGUGUAUGUGUAUGAGAAGAAGAAACAGAAAACAGAAAAGAAGAAGAGACUGGGCAGAAAUGCCCAAUCGGAGAAGAAGAAGGUGAGAGCAAACCAGAAGAAGGGAGAGGAAGAAGCUGACCAAUCAGGGGACGGAAAGGAGGGAAAGGAGGGAGAGUGGUGCGCGGGGGAACAGGAGGAAUGGGUCACCCUUGACCCGCGCGACCCAAGCUUCCAAAUCGGCGGGUUUUCGCCAUUUCCGUCCAAAUUUCCGACGAAUUGAGUCAAGGUACCACUCCUAAUCAUCAUCUAGGCCUUCCCUCUUUACGUUUCACCCCAAGAAUCAUUGAAUUUCGUUGUGAUUUCGCGAAGAACACCCCUACGGGUGCCGCGACCCUUUUGUUUAAAUUCUCCAAAUUUUGAAAUGUUUUCUUUCAAUUACUAACACCUUUAGCAUUCCUUUAGGACCUAGAACAAAGCCCAAGAGGUAAUUGAGGCGUUGGAACAAGUUUGAAGGUCGAAUUGGAAACACCCAAAUUCUAGGGUUCUUCACGGUUUUGGUGAAAUUGAAGCACUUCCAGGCCAAAUUGGCCUUGGUCUCAGGUAUGAAAGUUGUUCUACUCAUUGAGAUCUUCAAAUCUGCAAAUUUUUGGUAAUUUUUGGAAAUAGUUGAAUUUUCCGGCGAGCCGGGGGCGGCCAACCGCCACCCGCGGCGGCCCGCGCGGCGGCGCGUGGCCAAUGGCCGCCAAUGUCAUUAUUAGCUUGUGAUUAAAGGUUCUAGGUUUCUGUUUUGAUAAUUGAUGGACGUAAAUUGAAUAAUUGAACCUAAGUUGGUUACGAUUCGGGGUUAGGUGAAAAUGUGAAUUGACGAUCCGACCGUUGGAUCGUCAUCAAACUUUGAUACGUUGUAAUACGUAAUAUUUGAGGAUUAUAGGAACUUACGGAUUGGGAAUCCGAUUUACGGAUAUUCCGGAAUUGGAAUUGUAAGUUCAUAAAAUAGAAUGUUAACCGUCACUUAGUUUUGGAAAUUGACGGAGAUCCGACCGUUGGAUGGUAACGAAAUUUUAGGAUGUUGUCCUAGAGGUAUAUUGUGGACCUCUGGAAGUUUCGGAUUUGAAAUCUGAAUUGCAGAUCAUCCGGAUCGAACUACGUAGUGACGUGUCUUCUAUAAGUUAUGUAUUCUAUCGGCAGGAUUUCUGAGGUUGGGUUUGAUUAUUGUUCUAGGUGCUAAUCUUCAUGACGCCUUGAUGUGUGGUGCGAGGGAGUUGUUGAGCGAACUCCAGGUGAGUGGGCAGUUUUGUUUUCGUAUUACCUUUAUACUAUAAAUUUUUCCCAGAAGAUGAAUUUAUACGAAAUUAUGUUGAAAAUGCCAUGCAUAGAAUUAUUUGGAAAAUGUGAAUUUCAUAUGAGUUAUAUGAUUGAUAUAUGAUGCAUACAUGUUGCAUGGUGCUGUGGAGGCACAGGUAAGUCAGGUGAGUUCAUUAUUCAUUUAAUUGAUUGUUGAUAAGAUGUUUCAAGCUCAUAACCUGCACCCUAGGUGUUAGUGCUUAUUUUAUUCACCACACCGCACGCUCGCCUUGGAUCCAAGUAGGUGGAUGUCGUACAGACCAUGUGAGGGUUCCGACAUGCUAGUCGUAUAGAUCACUAGGCGUGAUUCCGACUAGUGGGUGAUCUUAGUUAUGCGCGCUGAUGAUAUGAUGAGAGAAGCACUAGAGCGUAUUUUUACACCUUUCAUCGUACAGACUACCUUACGUAGUUCCGAGUGAUGUGCAGAGUAGGGCCGUAUAGGUCACUGUGGUGACUCCGGCUUAGUGAGAUAUUGAGCUAUUGAAUUAAUCGUAUAGGACCAACUGCAGGGUCUCCGAUUGAUUCCUUAUUUCACCUGAUUUAUAUUUUGAUUUAUGGCAUGGCAUGUUUUUCUUGAAAAAUGUUAAAGAUUUGGGAUUCAAGUUUUGAGAUUUCAUAUGGUUAUAUAUAUAUAUUUUUCUGAAAAGUGUUAAAGGUUUGAGAUUUGAGAUUUUUGCUUAUAUAUAUGUUUAUACAUAUGCUAUUUUCUGGGAAAGUAUACAGGUUUUACGGUGAGGGGUUAGAAAUAUUUUAAAUGAAAAGUUUUCGAAAAACUUUGUUUUACUGACCCACUCAAUUUUGUUUUGCGCCCCUCCAGGUUCAAGUUAGCAGAGCUUUGGUGGCCACGAGGAAUCCAACGGUGUUCUGACAGAAUUCACAAAAGUAGGACUCACCCUCGGGUGUGUCAUCUUAGUAAUUGGAAAUUUUUUUUUAAAGCUUCUGAACUAUGUAAAUGGUUACGUCACUCUCACGUGACGGCCAGCACGCCCUCCUUCGGGACGGGGUGUGUCAAUUUUAGUUUAUAUGACAAAGUACAAAAAAUAUAUAAAUUUAUAUGAAAUUUAAAUAAAAAUAUAAAAUCCUAUGCCUCCUCUUACAAUAAUUUGCCAAUUUGGUACCAAAGCUUGACUU
rnacentral:lncRNA from 1 species